rnacentral:rRNA from 1 species
CCUACGGGCGGCAGCAGUCGAGAAUCAUUCACAAUGGGGGAAACCCUGAUGGUGCGACGCCGCGUGGGGGAAUGAAGGUCUUCGGAUUGUAAACCCCUGUCAUGUGGGAGCAAAUUAAAAAGAUAGUACCACAAGAGGAAGAGACGGCUAACUCUGUGCCAGCAGCCGCGGUAAUACAGAGGUCUCAAGCGUUGUUCGGAAUCACUGGGCGUAAGGCGUGGGUAGGCUGUUUCGUAAGUCGUGUGUGAAAGGCGCGGGCUCAACCCGCGGACGGCACAUGAUACUGCGAGACUAGAGUAAUGGAGGGGGAACCGGAAUUCUCGGUGUAGCAGUGAAAUGCGUAGAUAUCGAGAGGAACACUCGUGGCGAAGGCGGGUUCCUGGACAGUAACUGACGCUGAGGCACGAAGGCCAGGGGAGCGAAAGGGAUUAGAUACCCCUGUAGUC